AUCUGAAGCCUGACGAGGAUGAGAACCUCCGGGGGCAGGAGGUUCGACUCGAGCGCAGCGAGAGAACGUUGCGUCAGCAACGGCCCGCAGGGCGAGCCACGCAGUGGCGAGUCAUCCUCUAUCA
rnacentral:sRNA from 1 species